rnacentral:rRNA from 1 species
AUCGAACGCUGGCGGCAGGCUUAACACAUGCAAGUCGAGCGGAAGAAGGGAGCUUGCUCCUGGAGUCAGCGGCGGAAGGGUGAGUAAUGCCUAGGAAUCUGCCUGGUAGGGGGGGAUAACGUCCGGAAAAGGGUGCUAAUACCGCAUACGUCCAGAGGGAGAAAGUGGGGGAUCUUCGGACCUCACGCUAUCAGAGGAGCCUAGGUCGGAUUUGCUAGUUGGUGGGGUAAAGGCCUACCAAGGCGACGAUCCGUAACUGGUCUGAGAGGAUGAUCAGUCACCCUGGAGCUUGGCCACGGUCCAGGCUCCUGCGGGACGCCGCAGUGGGGAAUAUUGGACAAUGGGCGGGAGCCUGGUCCAGCCAUGCCGCGUGUGUUGAGGCGGUCUUCGGAUUGUAAAGCCCUUUAAGUUGUGAGGAAGGGCAGUAAGUUGAUACCUUGCUGUUUUGACGUUACCGGCAGAAUAAGCACCGGCUAACUUCGUG